rnacentral:snRNA from 1 species
AAAGAAGAAAGAAAAAGAA